rnacentral:rRNA from 1 species
UACAGAGGAUGCAAGCGUUAUCCGGAAUGAUUGGGCGUAAAGCGUCUGUAGGUGGCUUUUAAGUCCGCCGUCAAAUCCCAGGGCUCAACUCUGGACAGGCGGUGGAAACUACCAAGCUGGAGUACGGUAGGGGCAGGGGGAAUUUCCGGUGGAGCGGUGAAAUGCGUAGAGAUCGGAAGAACACCAGUGGCGAAAGCGGCUUCCUGGUCCAGCACCGACGUUCAGGCACGAAAGCGUGGGGAGCAAACAGG